rnacentral:rRNA from 1 species
CAGCGGGGAGGAAGCUUGCUUUCUCCGCCGGCGACCGGCGCACGGGUGAGUAACACGUAUGCAACCUGCCCCUGUCAGGGGGACAACCCGCCGAAAGGCGGGCUAAACCCGCGUACAUGCCACCGGGGCAUCCCGGAGGCAGGAAAGGCUUCGGCCGGACAGGGAUGGGCAUGCGGCGCAUUAGGCAGUAGGCGGGGUAACGGCCCACCUAACCGACGAUGCGUAGGGGUUCUGAGAGGAAGGUCCCCCACACUGGUACUGAGACACGGACCAGACUCCUACGGGAGGCAGCAGUGAGGAAUAUUGGUCAAUGGUCGGGAGACUGAACCAGCCAAGCCGCGUGAGGGAGGAAGGUACAGAGUAUCGUAAACCUCUUUUGUCAGGGAACAAAGGCGGGGACGUGUCCCCGGAUGAGUGUACCUGAAGAAAAAGCAUCGGCUAACUCCGUGCCAGCAGCCGCGGUAAUACGGAGGAUGCGAGCGUUAUCCGGAUUUAUUGGG